rnacentral:rRNA from 1 species
GACGAACGCUGGCGGCGUGCCUAAUACAUGCAAGUAGAACAGUUGCGAACGGGUGAGUAACGCGUAGGUAACUGCCUCAUAGAGGGGGAUACGUAUUGGAAACGAUAGCUAAUACAGCAUACUGUGAGAUGGACCUGCGUUGUAUUAGCUAGUUGGUGAGGUAAAGGCUCACCAAGGCGACGAUACAUAGCCGAACUGAGAGGGUGAUCUGCCACACUGGGAUUUAGACACGCCCCAGACUCCUACGGCAGGAAGCAGUAGGGAAUCUUCGUCAAUGGACGGAUGUCUGACCGAGCAACGCCGCGUGAGUGAAGAAGGUGUUCGGAUCGUAAAGCUCUGUUGUUAGAGAAGCUGUAACUAACCAGAAAGGGACGGCUAACUACGUGCCAGCAGCCGCGGUAAUAC